rnacentral:pre_miRNA from 1 species
UCCCUGAGACCCUAACUUGUGAUGUUUCCCGUUUAAAUCCACGGGUUAGGUUCUUGGGAGCU